CCGUGGUGACACCCGCGUGGCGAGCUGCGUGAACUAGCCGCGGGGCGCCUGGGACCGGGAUCAGGGACUCAGCGACCUCAGCCAGCUUAACGAAGAACCAGGCAGCCACUUGGAUGUGUGCGGCUCAGGCUCAGGGACAUAAUCACGUGCCUGGUCUACGGAGCUUUCCUGGUCCGUGGGACUCUCUUUGCUAUGGGUUUGUUGAGAAUUACUUACCGAGCAAAGAGAAAAUGAAAUCCUUGGCUCGGAGAAGAUCAGCUCCAGGCUUGGGCCCUUCGCUCCAGCUCUCCUGGACACCCAGCUCCUGAAUCAACUGAGUCAGCUCCUGCAGCUGGGCGCCAGAGCAGAAGUCGACGUCUGUGGAGCAAGGGCGGAAGGCAGUCCACAAGUGGGUCUUGCAGAUGAUGCGUUCUGCGUUUAGUCGUCAAAAUGAACAGAUGACUACUUUCUUCGUCCUUUUCCUAGAUGCAGGUUGCGGCCCGGUGAAUCGCUUCACCUGACUCAGCAGAAGAGGCUCAUUGGUCCACGGCUUUCCGAUUAAGGGGUAGCUUAAAAGGUUGUGAACAGAAAACACCGUAAAAGAUUCUACAGUGCUCACAGACACCAGAAGAUGAGAUGGCAUUCAGUUCCUGGACCUGGAGUUACAAACUACUACUCACCCACCAGGGUCCCAAGUAGACUAUGCUGAUUUUGAACUCAUUAUGUAGCUGAGGAUGGCUUUGAACUCCUGAUCUUCCUCCCUCCACCUACCAAGUGCUGGCGUUAGAGAUGUGCAACACAAUGCUUGAACAUGGCCCCGAGGUACUGGAGUUCAGUCUUCUCCGCCUCCACUCUUAACCCCACAUCUGGUUCCUGAUCAGAAAGUAUGGCAGCUAUAGUCAUGAGACAAUCUUCACAGAGUCAAAAUAUCCAUAAAGGAUUUCAUUGCUCUUCUGAAACACAGCCACACGUGUAGGCUGUUGAUAUGUCGCAUCUCGUGCCUGCUUUGAGAUCGACAUCGAAAGGGACAAUGACACAUAGCAGUGCCAGCUCUUCCCCAUCCUGACCAUUUCUUCGUCCUAAUCUCCCGUGUCCAGUGCUGGCUCAUUUGCUUCAGCAUCAUACAGACGUCCACCUUGCUGAGAUUGCUGUCCCUGCCAACUACCAACACCCACUGUGGUCCUCCUUCCUUCCCAAGAAACUGUCUGCCCGUCAAUCCACCCCUACUCCAAGCCGAAAAGCCACCAACUGCCACCUUAAGAAAACCACGGCACAGCAUGGUAGCGAUGACAAGCAUGUGCUUGUCAAUCCUAGCUGCUGAAGAGGCUGAGGCAAGAAGAGGUCGAGUUCCAGGCCCUCCUGGAGCUAGUGGUACCAUCUAAAUCUCACACACAAACACACACACCAGUGUAGUGAAGAGGUAGGGUACUUGCCAAACACGUUUACUCAGCACUAGAGAAAAAAAUUAAACAGUCCACACAGUUAACAAAGUAUAAAAUGAUGUAAUUGUUGAUAUAACAAAGGUUAACAAUCACUUAUCCAUGAACGUAGCACCCAGAUUGCAAGUGUGGGUUGUUUGCGUUUGUUUUAAUGAUAGAAUCUAGCAGGAGACACAGAGAUGGCUCAGCAGUUCAGAGUGCAUACUGCUCUUGCAGAGGACCCACAUGUAGUUCCCAGUACUCAGGUUGGGUGGCUCACAAUUACCUAGAACUUCAGUUCCAGAGGAUCAGAUGCCCUCUUCUGGACUCCACUGCAACUGCACUCAGGUGCACAUAUCUGCCCUCACAUAGACAUCUAAUUUAAAAAAUAAAAAUCUUUAAAAAGAAAAAGAAAAAAAGAGGCCAGGUAUGGUGGCACAUGCCUUUAACCCACAUUCCAGAGGCAGUGGCAGGGCGGAUCUCUAUGAGUUCAAGACCAACCAUGAUCAACACAGUGACUUCUAGGCCAGCCAAAGCUACACAGUAAAAAGACCCUGUCUCAAAAAGAUAAAACAGGGUCUUAUGUAAUCCUUCCUGGCCUGGAACUCAAGAUCAAACUGGCCUUGAACUUGCAAUAAGCAUCCUACCUUUGCCUCCAGAGUGCUGGGAUUAUCGGCAUGUGCCACCACCACCCUGCCAACAGUCAUUUUCCCUGCUGUUUUGAGACAGGGUCUCAUAUAAACCAGGGUGACCUUGGCAAACUUCGUAGUUAAGGAAUUCCUUGAGCUCCUUGAUCUUCCUGCUUCCACCUGCCAACCAAGAAUGUUUCCUACAGCAAACUAUUUAGCAGACAUGGAGGAAAGGUGUUUCUUAUGGUCUCCAAAUACACAGUAUGUGCUUACUAUGUGCCCAUAGAAUAAAAAUAACUUGAAACGAUCAA